rnacentral:rRNA from 1 species
GGGUCAGUAGGUUGGUCGUGCCACCGGUACGUACUGGUCUCACUGAUUCCUCCUUCCUGAAGAACCGUAAUGCCAUUAAUUUGGCGUUGCGGGGAAACAGGACUGUUACUUUGAAAAAAUUAGAGUGUUUAAAGCAAGCUAACGCUUGAAUACAUUAGCAUAGAAUAAUGAAAUAGGACGAUCGAUCCUAUUUUGUUGGUUUCUAGGAUUGACGUA